rnacentral:rRNA from 1 species
GACGAACGCUGGCGGCGCGCUUAACACAUGCAAGUCGAACGGAAAGGCCUGCUUUCCCUUGUGGAUUGCGGGUACUCGAGUGGCGAACGGGUGAGUAACACGUGAGUGAUCUGCCCUCAACUUGGGUAUAAGCCUGGGAUACUGGGUCUAAUUCCCGAUAGGACUGCAGGGUGGUGCCUGUGGUGGAAAACGAUUUUCUCGUGGUUGGGGAUGAGCUCGCGGCCUAUCAGCUUGUUGGUGGGGUAAUGGCCUACCAAGGCGGCGACGGGUAGCCGGCCUGAGAGGGUGGACGGCCACAUUGGGACUGAGAUACGGCCCAGACUCCUACGGGAGGCAGCAGUGGGGAAGAAUGCACAAUGGGCGGAAGCCUGAUGCAGCGACGCCGCGUGGGGGAUGACGGCCUUCGGGUUGUAAACUCCUUUCGACCGCGAGGAAGCCACCUGGUUGGAAGGGUGGUGACGGUAGUGGUAGAAGAAGCACCGGCUAACUACGUG